GUGAGGAAUUUUCCGCAAUGGGCGAAAGCCUGACGGAGCAAUGCCGCGUGAAGGAUGAAGGCCUAUGGGUUGUAAACUUCUUUUCUCAGAAAAGAAUUAUGACGGUAUCUGAGGAAUAAGCAUCGGCUAACUCUGUGCCAGCAGCCGCGGUAAGACAGAGGAUGCAAGCGUUAUCCGGAAUGAUUGGGCGUAAAGCGUCUGUAGGUUGUUUAAAAAGUAUUCUGUCAAAGAUUAGGGCUUAACCCUAGAUAGGCAGAAUAAACUUUUAAGAUAGAGUUUGGUAGAGGCAGAGGGAAUUCCCGGUGGAGCGGUGAAAUGCGUAGAUAUCGGGAGGAACACCAAAGGCGAAGGCACUCUGCUGGGCCAAUACUAACACUGAGAGACGAAAGCGAGGGGAGCAAAUGGGAUUAGAUACCCUAGUAGUCC
rnacentral:rRNA from 1 species